rnacentral:rRNA from 1 species
GUGGCGUAAGGGUGCGUAACACGUGGGCAAUCUGCCGAGAAGUGGGGGAUAGCUCGCCGAAAGGCGAAUUAAUACCGCAUGUGGUUAGUGAGGGAUUCCUCGCAACACCAAAGCCGGGGCAACCUGGCGCUUCUUGAUGAGCCCGCGGCCUAUCAGCUAGUUGGUGAGGUAACGGCUCACCAAGGCUAUGACGGGUAGCUGGUCUGAGAGGACGACCAGUCACACUGGAACUGAGACACGGUCCAGACACCUACGGGUGGCAGCAGUCGAGAAUUUUUCUCAAUGGGGGAAACCCUGAAGGAGCGACGCCGCGUGGAGGAUGAAGGUCUUCGGAUUGUAAACUCCUGUCAUUUGGGAACAAUUGUUGGCGAUUAACUGUCGUCAGCUUGAUAGUACCAGAAGAGGAAGAGACGGCUAACUCUGUGCCAGCAGCCGCGGUAAUACAGAGGUCUCAAGCGUUGUCCAGAUUCAUUGGGCGUAAAGGGUGCGUAGGUGGCGGGGUAAGUCAGGUGUGAAAUCUCGGGGCUCAACCCCGAAACUGCACUUGAUACUGCCUUGCUUGAGUACUGGAGAGGAGAUUGGAAUUUACGGUGUAGCAGUGAAAUGCGUAGAUAUCGUAAGGAAGACCAGUGGCGAAGGCGAAUCUCUGGACAGUUACUGACACUGAGGCACGAAGGCCAGGGGAGCAAACGGGAUUAGAUACCCCGGUAGUCCUGGCAGUAAACGGUGCGCGUUUGGUGUGGGAGGAUUCGACCCCUUCUGUGCCGGAGCUAACGCGUUAAACGCGCCGCCUGGGGAGUACGGUCGCAAGAUUAAAACUCAAAGAAAUUGACGGGG